GUUGGCCUCUGUAACUAAUAUAGAACUAUCAGGAUAAGUUCUGCAACCAGUGGAAUCUAAUAUUCCGUGUUACCUUGGCUACGAUCCCAAUAGAAACAUACUGUGUGUACAGCGAUGAUACGUCGAAUCGCUGUAACUACAAUUAAUAGCCACGAAAUUAGGCAAAACAGAAUACACGAUGAGGCCGCCAAUGACCUGGAUAAUGUCUUCGCGGAUAGCAUCCCAGACAACGAGGAGGAAUCCGACCAGGGUGGAUUACUUAGUGUAGAUACAUUGGGUGGUAUACCUCGAAGGAAUUCUCUCAGAAGAGACUCGUUGAACAUAAGGAAAAACUCUCUCCCUGUUGUGGAGAGGAGACACUCGUUGGUGAGGAAGCGAAGCGACGCUGCUGAAAGGGCAUUGGUAGAGAGGCGAAUUUCACUAGACUCUGGCACCAGGAGGAUGUCAACUGGAGUGGAACACAAGGAGGGAUCGACGGAGAGACCAACAUCCAUUUUACGAAAAGAUUCGACAACUGGCAUCCGACGUAAGGACAGCAUUAAACGACGACGCAGCAGAAUUAGUGAAGUAACGAACUAUGGGCGCGACAUAGAAGCGUACAACGCGAUAAGAACAAAAAUAGUUGACAGCUCAGAGCUUCUAAACAUCACGUCAUCUUUAAGAGAGCGUAUGAAAAUGCUACAGUUUAUGUACGACGACUGUAAGGAUAUGAUAGAUAGACGUAUCCAAACACAAAAAAAUAAAUUGUAUAAGGCCAGGUUAUUUAAAGUGAAGUUAACAUUUUGUGCGUUCAUGGUAAUAGUGGGUGUAUUUGUAUAUAGGAUCUUUCUUCAAGAUGGAAUCACCGACUGAGUUUAAGCAUGGCGAGGAUACGGGAUACGACCAUAUGUGAUGAUGAACAUACGAUACGUAUACAAGAAACAUGUUGAAUGAGGGAAAUCAGCGGCAUCUUCACAAGUUCUUUAUGUUCGUCCAGUCAUAAAUUCUUUAGCUCAUUCUGACUGACGGAAUAAAACAAAAUGGCGGUCUUAUCACUAACUUUUCACACACAAAUUAAUUAACUCCUGUGUAAGAAAACUCUACACUUUAAACACUAAUUGUAAUUUUGAUUUUUGAAGUGUAGUGUAGAGAAACACAACUCAUUGCCUGAGAGAGAAACAUGUUAUCCCAAAAUCGUAACAACUUAAAACACUGAUUAUCAAUGAACUAUAUAAUGAAGCUUAUUUUCCAUUGUGAGUGAUCACUGUCUUCUCUCUGACAUCUCACUAUUGAAGGUUUUUACCAUUGGAGCCUAUGACAAAGCUAAAUAAAUAAAAACAAGUGCGUGUUGACAUCUAUUUACAGUCCUAUUUAUUCAGCUAUAUAGCAACUUGCUUAUUCCUUUCAGCAAUGAAACAGAAAGAUGUGUUCCCUCUUCAAAACAGAGGCAAAAGAGGCAUCAACGAUCUUUGAUACUGCUUUGUGGAAUUCUUUAAAGAUUUCGAAAAAAGACAAGAUGCAUAUAUGUAAAAGUUAAGUUGAUAUUUGAAAAACACUAAAU
rnacentral:misc_RNA from 1 species